GAAAAUGAUGCCGUGCCCUUGAUUGUAUBUBAAAGGAAAGAAAGGGGGGGUGGCGCGCASCAGAAAGCCCCCCAAGAAAAGUAUUUGGCUUUCUAUAAGGACAAUUGAAUGGCCGCGGUAACUCUGACCGUGAUAAUGUAGCGAAAUCACUAGCCAGUUAAUUGCUGGCCUGUAUGAAUGGCUUAACGAGGGCUCCACUGUCUCAAUAAUAAACCGGGUGAAAUUGGAAAAACGGUAAAGAUACCGUAAAGGAAUUCUAAGACGAGAAGACCCCAUUGAGCUUUACUAUUAACUUGUAUUGCCAAAGCAAAUAAAAGGGAACUCUCCCUUGCUUUAUAAUAAAAUUGAGUAGACUAAGUGGGAAAAAAGGGAUGUUAGUCCCCUUUUUAUGGCCGAUUCAUUGGAUUGGGCCCCCAAAAGAUACCUUUUGGGGCCAUUGGCGUANAGAGGGGGGAUCCGAUUUUCGGAUCGGCGCCGAAGGCGCCCCAACCCUACUCGAUUUUUAUGAAAAACCACUCUUUUUAUUAGGAUUACUGGCUAAAACCGUACAARUAAAGGUAGUUUGGUUGGGGCGACCGCCUUCGAAAAAGUAUCSAAAGGCGUAACAUAARAUUMUUCCGGGGGGGGUGUCCUUUUUUCACCCCCAAACAAACCGGGGGWWAYGCCCCAAAAAAGAUUAUUNUGACYGAAAAGGGCUACCACCCGAAAMGGGCCCUU
rnacentral:rRNA from 1 species